AUGUGGCGUAUAAUUAAGAACGGACUGGCGGUUGGCGCCGAGCUUCACCGUAGAAGAAUUAAACUAGGAGUUUUUUGCGUGGCAUGUGGUAGAGAGGAAACCAUAUACCACCGUUUUUGGGCGUGUCCACACUCCGUCCACUUCUGGAAGUUACUACGGGAGGAGAAGGGCGUUUAUGUGGCACUUCCACCGGCUCCGUUGGACAACCAUGGUGAGCUAUCUCGCUGGCUCGUUGAAUGGCUUGCUGCUGCUGAUGGGGACGAGCGGGAGGCAAUGAUUCAGGCUACUUACGGUCUAUGGCUCGCUAGGAAUGCAGCAAGAGAUGGGAAGAGGGUUGAUCAACCAUAUGAAAUAAUGGAGUCAGUUUGCUCUCACAUGGCGGAAUGGAACAGAGUGCAUCAACUAAAGCCGAGGCCAGAAAGGACGGAUCUGCCACAAAAGUGGGAAGCACUUGUAGAUGGAUGGGUGAAGAUUAAUUCAGAUGGUGCGGUGCAUAAAGGAGGGAGUAAGGCUGGGGGUGGAGCCGUGCUUAGGGACCGCCUAAUGGGGCAUUUCUGGCUGGAGUGUGCCAUCAUUUUCCACACAUUGUGGAGCCUGAAGCAGCGGAGAUUUUGGCGUGUAAAAAAGCAUUGCAGGUAG
rnacentral:rRNA from 1 species